UUUCCAGUCAGGCUUCUGGCUAAAAUAAACUCCAGCUCUUAGCUGGAUUUAGCCAAAGCCUGACUGUAAA
rfam:Mesocricetus auratus contig191310, whole genome shotgun sequence.